GGUUGUAUAGUAUAGUGGUCAGUACGGCUCGUUGUGGUCAAGGAUUUCCUUUCCUGCACUACAGCAAAUCCCGAGCAGACUCAGGUUCGAUUCCUGAUACAGCCA